rnacentral:rRNA from 1 species
UACGUAGGUGGCAGGCGUUGUCCGGAUUUACUGGGUGUAAAGGGCGUGCAGCCGGAGAGACAAGUCAAAUGUGAAAUCCACGGGCUCAACCCGUGAACUGCAUUUGAAACUGUUUCCCUUGAGUGUCGGAGAGGUAAUCGGAAUUCCUUGUGUAGCGGUGAAAUGCGUAGAUAUAAGGAAGAACACCAGUGGCGAAGGCGGAUUACUGGACGAUAACUGACGGUGAGGCGCGAAAGCGUGGGGAGCAAACAGG